UAUUUAAUUUUUUUCAAUAAUUGUUUAAAUUUUAAGAAUGAUUUUUUUUACAACUAUAUAAAGGACAAUAAUAUUUGAUAAAUGCAAGAAGAGUUUGAACCUUAAAAGAUAGAAAUUAAUAAAACUAUUUUUUAAAUAGAGAGGAAGAAAUAUGGUUGAAGUUCUCAAGUUUGUUUAUAUUAUGAUUAUCUUUCUUUACUUAUUGUCUGCGUCAUUCUACAACGGAAGAAAUUCCAUGUGUUGGAAGGAUACCGAUUGUUUAAAUCAUAUGUGCCUGCCACCAAAGAUAGUGAAGUGUUCCAAUAAAAUAUGUGUGUGUGUUAAAGUGACCUCGCUACUUGAUUAAGAAAUUUUUAUGAACUAUAACAUAGUUAUUGGAUUUACAUAUCAUAAUUUGUUUUCUUUUUCUUUUAUAUUUCACAAAUUAUGUAUUAUGCUUAAUAAUAUUUACAUUGUGUUCUUCUAUUAAACUAAAUUCA